GUUCAGGGUAGCCUAGUGGACAUGGCAUCUGCCCGGUAAGCGGAACAUUGUGGGUUCGAUUCCAAUCGCACUGGACA
rnacentral:tRNA from 1 species